rnacentral:rRNA from 1 species
AUUGAACGCUGGCGGCAGGCCUAACACAUGCAAGUCGAACGAGUGGCGGACGGGUGAGUAAUGUCUGGGAAACUGCCCGAUGGCGGGGGAUAACUACUGGAAACGGUAGCUAAUACCGCAUACCAUCGGAUCUGCCCAGAUGGGAUUAGCUAGUAGGUGGGGUAACGGCUCACCUAGGCGACGAUCCCUAGCUGGUCUGAGAGGAAGACCAGCCACACUGGAACAGAGACACGGUCCAGACUCCUACGGGAGGCAGCAGUGGGGAAUAUUGCACAAUGGGCGAAAGCCUGAUGCAGCCAUGCCGCGUGUAUGAAGAAGGCCUUCGGGUUGUAAAGUACUUUCAGCGAGGAGGCGGUACCCGCAGAAUAAGCACCGGCUAACUCCGUGCCAGCAGCCGCGGUAAUAC